UACGUAGGGUGCGAGCGUUGUCCGGAUUCAUUGGGCGUAAAGGGUGCGUAGGCGGCGCGGUAAGUCGGGUGUGAAAUCUUGGAGCUUAACUCCGAAACUGCAUUCGAUACUGCCGUGCUUGAGGACUGGAGAGGAGACUGGAAUUUACGGUGUAGCGGUGAAAUGCGUAGAUAUCGUAAGGAAGACCAGUGGCGAAGGCGGGUCUCUGGACAGUUCCUGACGCUGAGGCACGAAGGUCAGGGGAGCAAACGGG
rnacentral:rRNA from 1 species